GACGGAUUCCAGACAAAUGGAGAAUGUGCAUAUGCAUUAGUAAUUCAGAGAAGUAUUUGCCUAGAGACGAAAAUGUGGCGCAGUUCAACUGUACCGGACUGAUCCGAAACAACAACACCUUCGUUUCAGCCAGCGGCUACCAUCUCAGCGCAUAAAUAACGUCAUGUAAUACCGAUUUGUCUCGGUGCAGGGGGUGCAGAGAAUGGCUGCACUGGAUGAGAACACAGCUGAAUGUGCGUGUCGAGGGACAUUUUAUGCCAACUACGAAUCAGCCUAAGAUCCAUGUUCAAGAGUCCGCGUAAGCCAUCUGUAGGGGAAAGGUCCUCAAUCCGCCGGCCGGCAGUACUUGCAGUUGAAGAAUAUCCAGACCUGCAAUAAUGCUGCCCUGGGAACUACGCCAGGCAGCCUCCUCAUGAUACCAUUGGACCACCUACAUGAGGAGGCGAACGUCCUUCCCGUACGUCAGCAAUAUCAUAGACAGAAAAGGAAAAAAUACGAACAUUUAUGCGCUGAGAUGGUAGCCGCUGGCUGAAACAAAGAUGUUGUUGUUUCGGAUCAGUCCGGAACAGUUGAAUGCGCCGCCGUUGCUAUUUUUAUUUGGUCUGGAAACCGUCUGUUACUUUUUGAUAGACAACUUGGCCUGGCAUAUUCAAUAAAUUUUUUAAAUUUGUGACGUUUAAUCAAA